rnacentral:rRNA from 1 species
AGUGAACGCUGGCGGUAGGCCUAACACAUGCAAGUCGAACGGCAGCACAGUAAGAGCUUGCUCUUACGGGUGGCGAGUGGCGGACGGGUGAGGAAUACAUCGGAAUCUACUUUUUCGUGGGGGAUAACGUAGGGAAACUACGCUAAUACCGCAUACGACCUACGGGUGAAAGCAGGGGAUCUUCGGACCUUGCGCGAUUGAAUGAGCCGAUGUCGGAUUAGCUAGUUGGCGGGGUAAAGGCCCACCAAGGCGACGAUCCGUAGCUGGUCUGAGAGGAUGAUCAGCCACACUGGAACUGAGACACGGUCCAGACUCCUACGGGAGGCAGCAGUGGGGAAUAUUGGACAAUGGGCGCAAGCCUGAUCCAGCCAUACCGCGUGGGUGAAGAAGGCCUUCGGGUUGUAAAGCCCUUUUGUUGGGAAAGAAAAGCAGCAGGUUAAUACCCCGCUGUUCUGACGGUACCCAAAGAAUAAGCACCGGCUAACUUCGUG